ACCAAGACAUUAUGGCUCCAGUACAAGUCAAAGCCCCAGAGUCAAUACUUUCACGUGACUAAGAGAUAGCCAACCUAUCAGAUGCACAGUUCAAAGCACUGGUGAUCAGGAUGCUCACAGAAUUGGUUGAAUUUGGUCGCAAAUUAGAUGAAAAAAUGUAGGUUACCAUAAAAGA